rnacentral:lncRNA from 1 species
GGGAAGAAUCGAUUAUCAUGGGUUUAAGUUAAAAUGGUUAAAUUUAAAGUUACGAGCUUAAGGACUAAGUUGUGAAAAAGUUAAAAUAGGAGGGAUAAUUUUGUAAUUUCAUGAUAAUAUGAAUUAUAGAUUGAAUUGAAUACUUGAGGUUAUUUGAAGUACUUAAUUGAAUGAAAUUAUUUAUUUAGAUCAAGAUAAGCAACAACCAGACUUAAAUCGGGGAAAAAUAAAAGCUUUGGAUUAGUC